rnacentral:rRNA from 1 species
UACGGGGGGUGCAAGCGUUAUCCGGAUUCACUGGGUUUAAAGGGUGCGUAGGUGGGUUGGUAAGUCAGUGGUGAAAUCUCCAAGCUUAACUUGGAAACUGCCGUUGAUACUAUCAAUCUUGAAUCUCGUGGAGGUAAGCGGAAUAUGUCAUGUAGCGGUGAAAUGCUUAGAUAUGACAUAGAACACCGAUAGCGAAGGCAGCUUGCUACACGAGUAUUGACACUGAGGCACGAAAGCGUGGGGAUCAAACAGG